GAUGAACGCUGGCGGCGUGCCUAAUACAUGCAAGUCGAGCGAACAGACGAGGAGCUUGCUCCUCUGACGUUAGCGGCGGACGGGUGAGUAACACGUGGAUAACCUACCUAUCAGACUGGGAUAACUUCGGGAAACCGGAGCUAAUCCCGGAUAAUAUAUUGAACCGCAUGGUUCAAUAGUGAAAGACGGUUUUGCUGUCACUUAUAGAUGGAUCCGCGCCGCAUUAGCUAGUUGGUAAGGUAACGGCUUACCAAGGCAACGAUGCGUAGCCGACCUGAGAGGGUGAUCGGCCACACUGGAACUGAGACACGGUCCAGGCUCCUACGGGAGGCAGCAGUAGGGAAUCUUCCGCAAAGGGCGAAAGCCUGACGGAGCAACGCCGCGUGAGUGAUGAAGGUCUUCGGAUCGUAAAACUCUGUUAUUAGGGAAGAACAAAUGUGUAAGUAACUAUGCACGUCUUGACGGUACCUAAUCAGAAAGCCACGGCUAACUACGUG
rnacentral:rRNA from 1 species